rnacentral:tRNA from 2 species
CCCGUCUUAGCUUAGCCUGGCUCGAGCGGCUGACUGUAGAUCAGCAGAUCCCCGGUUCAAAUCCUGGAGACGGGA